UACGUAGGUGACAAGCGUUGUCCGGAUUUACUGGGCGUAAAGAGCGCGCAGGCGGUCGUUCAAGUCGAGUGUGAAAGCCCCCGGCUCAACUGGGGAGGGUCAUUCGAUACUGAUCGACUCGAAGGCAGGAGAGGGAAGUGGAAUUCCCGGUGUAGUGGUGAAAUGCGUAGAUAUCGGGAGGAACACCAGUGGCGAAGGCGGUUCUCUGGGACGGUACUGACGCUGAGACGCGAAAGCGUGGGGAGCGAACAGG
rnacentral:rRNA from 1 species